UGGGCGCGGACGGGAUCGAACCGCCGACCGCUGGUGUGUAAAACCAGAGCUCUACCGCUGAGCUACGCGCCC
rnacentral:tRNA from 1 species